rnacentral:lncRNA from 1 species
UCCUUUUUUCCCCUUUUUCUUUUUCUUUUUCUCUUUUUCUCUCUUAAAGUUGGAGAACCCCUCUUAAAGUUGGAGUUGUGGGCGGAGCCCGACUCCCAUAGGAGUCCGGGCGGAGUCCUCCUGCAAUUAAAGUUAGGUGUGAAGUCUGGCUCCCGUAGGAGUCCGGACGGAUCUUACUGACGUUUGAAGUUGGCGAUGGAGCCCGGCUCCUGUAGGAGUCCGAGCGAAGUCCCCCUUGAGGUUGGAGUCGUGGGUAGAGCCC